UUUUAAAAUAGAUAUACCAAUACGAAUUGCAACAUGUACUGCAAAAAAAGAACAGGAAGAAACUCUUCAGUUUCAAGACGAUUCUGAUUCCUCUAAGCAAAUACCUACUACUGAUAUAUAAUAAAUGAGAAUGAGUCUUCUACGUAUCAACAUCAUACAUUCUGUUGUAAAGCAUGUCGUCAUAAUAUGCAAGUUAUAUUGCAUAAGAUAAACACAAUUGAUAUGCAUUUUGUAGAUUUAAAUGGAAACGAACCCCAGCGAAAUGAUGGAAAUACACUACCACAAUUUCCGAUUUCGAAGUAACAGUUCAAGAAUUAGAAAAUUUUAAUAAAUUAUUAAAGGAAGAUGCAACAGCUCGUGCACAAUAUAAAAAAAUGAUUAAAAAUAUUGGCGGUAAAGAUGUCAAAAAACAUGUUCGACAAGCUUUGACAUUAAUAUUAAACGAUGAAUUUUCAUGCAAACUAUCAUGGACAGGACAGAAAAAAACUAUCAAAGUAAAAGAUAUGAAGUUUGUGGACAUAAUGAUAGAAUCUAUGAUCAAUUCCGGGCGUAACUGUACAAUCUUUGACGUACAAGAUACUAUUCAAAAAUGGCUGCAACAUGCAAGUGAUCGAGUUCGUUAUACAGAAAAAAACACGCUCAAACAUAAUUUUAAAAUUUUCAUAUAAAAAUUUAUAUGUAUUGUUUGUUUUAUUUUAUAAUAUAUAUUAUAUUCGCGACUUUUUUAAUCCUAUAUGUUAUCUACAGAUAUAUUAAAUGUUAAGUUCCGAUUGAUAAUUCUAAAUAUAGUCAAACCGUUUAAAGUUCAAUAAAUUUAUUAUUUGUUAAAAAUCAUCAAAACUAUUUUAUAUUAGAAAUAUAAUGUUUAGGAAUAUAAUUUCGAAAGAAGGUUCAUGUACUUGUUAUUUUAUUAUUCAAUAAUAAAAUAAUGACACCUGAAUAAGUCUAUAAUAUCAUAUUUGUUUGUGAAGAUUUCUUACACUAUACAAUUUUUUUAGGCUCAGUAAAAAUAUAGAUAUAAAUUAAAUAUGCGGGUUUAUUUGAAUUGUUUUUUGUUUAAAUUGUUUUUUCAGUUACUUAUUAAAUUGUAUGUUGUAAACUGGAGUAAAUCGAAGCUUAUUAAAGGAUGAAUAAGAACAGGACGAUAUUUUUGACAACUUUAGCUUGAUAUUAUAAAUUCGUUUUUUAUUAUUUGUCAUAUUCCAGUUUACUUCAUUCGAUUCUUAAUAUAAGAAAUUUACAAACUGACAUCCGCCAGAAAUCUUAAAUAAUUGUACAACAGAUGUCUUCAAGACAUCAUAUGUGUGAAUUCGUAGAAUAGAUAUCUUUUAGAUAUCUCAUUAAGAAGUCUAAGAAAAGUUUUCUUUUUGAUGUCUUUUCGAAGAAAUCUUAUUUUUUUCUGAAAGCGACGCAUAAGAAUAAUUUCUGAAGCACUUAUGAUAUAUUUAAGAAGAUAUAAUAGGAUGUCUAAAUCUUACGUAGGAGUUCUUUAAGGAUCAUUUUAGACAUCAUAGUGCUAUUUGGGAACUGUUAAAGUUUCUUUGAUGGUUAAUAUUAUAGAAAAGUAUUACGGCCCGAUUGCAACCGAUUGUUAUCUUCCCAGUGAGCAUUAUUGAGAGGAUGAGCUCUUUAAGAGAACUUUUUAAAGACUUAAUUAAAUUUUCUUAGAAAUGAUAUCAGUAAGUUAUCUUUUUGUAAGAUAUCUUUCACAAGAGCUCUUUAUGAUAUCUCUUCAUAGAUAUCUCUAAAAUCUCUAGCAAGCGUGCCAUUUAAGAUAUUUUACGAAAGCCGCACACAUGCGCAAGCAACGUACAUGUGAACUAGAGACCCUGUGUUCUAGUGUGAACUGCGUGCCACUGCAUGCUCUGGAUUUCAAAGAGAUAGCAUUUCUUCAAUAUUAACGUUUUUAAGAUAAUCUUUCUUUCUUAAAUUAUAAAUAUUAUUAAAUAUGUAUUUGAGCAUAAAAUAUAUUAAUAUUUUCAUAUAUAUUUUUGUUAUUUCUAUAUUUAACCUAAGAAGUUGGGUUAUGUCUUCAAAAAAUAUGUCAAUUAUAUGAUGUCUUUCUUUCCUCUAAAAUCGACGCAUUGGAGGACUUAUUGAUAUCAUAAUAUUAUCAUUUUGAUGGUGUUUUCGGAAGUCCGACUCUUAAACUUGAGUACUUUAUGAAUUUCUUUUGAUAACAUAUUGCUCACUGGGUUGGUUUUAAACAAGACUUAAAUAUGUGUCUAUCUUUAUUAAUUUAAAAAAACAGAUAAAGACAUAUGUUUAAGUAUCGCUUAAAUCCAAAAUAAUGUUGGUGCAACCUGACCUAAGUAUUGCAAAAAAAAAUAUUGAACAAAAGAAUAUUACCUUUCCUUUCUCUUUUGCGUUGCUUUAAAAUUUUUAAUUUUGUAUUUUCAUCUGUUUAGAUCUGCCGAAUUUAGGAAAAUCCUAGAAAAGUGAAGAGUGGACUUUUUACUUCGAUGGCCAGAGGAAAAUUUUUUCUUUCAUAAUUUAAUGUAAAAAAAUUGUUUUUUAUUAUAAUGCUAAAUUUACCCAGUCAGCCACGUCUGUUCUAACAGAUAUUGCCAAGUGCUUGCUACAAAUUAUUGUCAGCAAGAAGGCUACAAAUUUGGUACAAGAGUUGUUAUUACCAAUUAAGCUGGCAGAUUGCCGGCAAAAACCAAACAAAGCUUGCUAACAUAACUAGACAACAAAUUGGCGGCAGAAACCGAGCAAAGCUUGCUGACAUGACUGACAUCAGAUUGUCAGCAAAAACUGAGCAAGGUCUGGAGUGCGCAAUCUGAUGGCAAAUUGGCAGCAAAAACCGAACAGAAUCUGCAGCUUAUUACAAAGUAUUAUAAAAUAGUUCAGUCGCUUAUCGUUAUGCGGCGCGUUAUUCAUUAUCUAUAUACCGUAUUCAAAUUCUUGUCAUGAGUGUAUAUAAAGCCUACAAA